rnacentral:misc_RNA from 1 species
GAUGAAGAACGCAGCGAAAUGCGAUACUUGGUGUGAAUUGCAGAAUCCCGUGAACCAUCGAGUCUUUGAACGCAAGUUGCGCCCGAAGCCAUUUGGUUGAGGGCACGUCUGCCUGGGCGUCACAUAUCGUUGCCCCCCCAUCUACUCCUUCGGGAUUGCGGGGGGCGGAUGAUGGCCUCCCGUGCGCCUCGUCGCGCGGUUGGCAUAAAUACCAAGUCCUCGGCGACGCACGCCACGACAAUCGGUGGUUGCGAAACCUCGGUUGCCCGUCGUGUGCGGUCGUCGCGCAUCGAGGGCUCGAAAAAAUUGCCGGGCUCCGGCUCGGCUUUCAACGCGACCCCAGGUCAGGCGGGGUUACCCGCUGAAUUUAAGCAUAUCAAUAAGCGGAGGA